rnacentral:lncRNA from 1 species
UUUAGGGUAUACAAAGGGUUCAAAUUUAUAGAUUUUAUUUUUGUGUUGGUUAUUUAGUAUUGGUCUAUUUUAUAUUUACUCGUUCAUUAAUUCAUUUUGGAGUCGCAAACGCAAUCACUCAUAAUCUCGAGACUCCAUCAAUCCUGCUCGCGGUUUAGCAUCACCCUACGCAAAACAAUUGUUUAUGCAUGAUUCUGAUCAUGCAAGGAAUCUAGUAGGAGUGCCUAGAAACACAUUAAACUUUAGUACUUGUUGUAUUGUAUUGUAUCUUCAAAUAUGUUGAAUUUUGUUUCCAAACCAU